UAGGAGAAAUCUUUUUAUUAACAGACUUCCUAAAGUAGCUAGAUUCUCAGAUAUGGCUUCAUUUCUCAGCGUUUCACCAGCAUGAGAUAUUUUCAU